GUAACCAACAACUACCAAAGCUUGGUGCUGUUCCCAUCAGUUUUCUCAUCCUUAAAAAAGGAACUGAACUGCUUUCAUGAGACCCAGCAUCCCGAGCUGAUCGUCCAGAAGAUCCAGAACAACCAGCUGCAAGGGCUGGCUCAGCAGCUGGUUCCUGGGGCCUGACAGGAAGAUGAGCUUUCUGGUGCUUGGCAUUAGACAAAGAAAAAGAUUAAAUCUCCUUGGCCUGCAGCAGGAUGUUGGGGAAGACGGUUGAACUCAGGAGUGUUCUUAAAAUUUGCUUUUAAAGAAGCUUUUUGCUUUUCCUUAUGGAGCCAAGAUACUAGUUCAUUUAUUUUCUCUAGUUAAGUCAGACCCAUAGAAUUACUGUGGAAAGCUACUGGCAUCAGCUUCGUGUUUGGCUGCCAUAAAUAAGGAAAUCCAUAUCCUCCUUGCCAGUUUUUCAGCAGAACCAACCUGCUUGUUCCUGGGCAGCUGGGUGAAUUGGAUUUUGGAAGGAUGCUUUGUGUCUUUGAAGUCUUUUCUGGCUAAAUACCAUUAAUCUUCAGAGUGAUUCAGUUCUAAAGGUUAACAUCAACUGAUUUUACUAAUUGUUUUCCAUUAGGAGGGCAACUCAGCCAGAAUAGGAGCCUGAUCCUCUUAGCUACUAAUCCUGUUGCUACAACCACUAGCUCAGCUGAUGCUUUUCCUGAGAUGAGUGGCUCUUAAUUGAACACAGGAAUUAAGAUGUGAGCAUAAUGAUGCUGUGAUAACCCUCCUGAUUUUUAUGUCAGCCAAGGUUACUACCAAGCUGCAGGAGCUCACUGAAUAAACCACUGAACACUGGGAAUUCUCCCACUAUAUCACAAUUGCAGAAGCAGAGGUGCUAGGUGGUCUCCUAUUGACUGAAACACAGAACAGGGACACCUGUGAGAUCACAUUUCUGAGGUGUGCUGAAUGCCAUUGAAGCUCAUUGAAUCCUUGAAUCAUCACCUCAUGCAAACACACCUCAGAAGAUCAAAAUGCUGCAGGCUGUGAUCUUUCUGAGAAGAUCUGCAGAUGGCUGCCAUUUAUCUAGACAGAUGAACUCAUUAACAGGAGAAGGAGAAGCAGAGACACACGGACAUUUCUACUGUGUGGUUUGAAGCUACAGUGUAAUGCCCAGGGUCUCUACUGCCCUUGGGAUGCUCAUCUG